rnacentral:rRNA from 1 species
UGGUUGAUCUUGCCAGUAGUCAUAUGCUUAUCUCAAAGACUAAGCCAUGCAUGUGUAAGUAUGAAAUAAUUCAGACUGUGAAACUGGGAAUGGCUCAUUAAAUAAGUUGUAGUUUGUUUGAUGGUAUUUGCUACUCGAAUAACCGUAGUAAUCCUAUAGAUAAUACGUGUGAUAAACCCUAACUUCUAGAAGGGAUGCAUUUAUUAGAUAAAAGGUCGACGUGGGCUUUGCCCGUUUCUCUGAUGAUUCAUGAUAACUCGACAGAUCGCACGACCUUUGUAUCGGUAACGCAUCAUUCAAAUUUCUCACCUAUCAGCUUUCGAUGGUAGGAUAGUGGCCUACUAUGGUGGUGACGUGUGAUGGAGAAUUAGGGUUCGAUUCUGGAGAGGGAGACUGAGAAACGGCUACCACAUCCAAGAAAGGCAGCAGGCGCGCAAAUUACCCAAUCCUGACACGGGGAGGUAGUGACAAUUAAUAACAAUACCGGGCUCUAUGAGUCUUGUAAUUGGAAUGAGUACAAUCUAAAUCCCUUAACGAUGAUCCAUUGGAGGGAAAGUCUGGUACCAGCAGCCGCGGUAAUUCCAGCUCCAAUAGCAUAUAUUUAAGUUGUUGCAGUUAAAAAGCCGUAGUUGGACCUUGGGGUGGGUUGGCCGGUCUGCCUCACAGUGAGCAUCGGUCUGCUCGUCCCUACUACCGGCGAUGCGCUCCUGGCCUUAAUUGCCCGGGUCGUUCUUCCAGCGCUGUUACUUUGAGGAAAUUAGAGUGGUCAAAGUAGUCCUAUGCUUGUAUACAUUAGCAUGGGAUAACAUCACAGGAUUUCGAUCCUAUUGUGUUGGCCUUCGGGAUUGGAGUAAUGAUUAACAGGGACAGUCGAGGGCAUUCUUAUUUCAUUGUCAGAUGUGAAAUUCUUGGAUUUAUGAAAGACGAAUAACUGCGAAAGCAUUUUCCAAGGAUGUUUUCAUUAAUCAAGAACAAAAGUUUGGGGCUCGAAGACGAUCAAAUAGCGUCCUAGUCUCAACCAUAAACGAUGCUGACCAGGGAUCGAUGGAUGUUGCUUUUAGGACUCCGCUGGCACCUUAUAAGAAAUAAAAGUCUUUGGGUUUCAGGGGGAGUAUGGUCGCAAGGCUGAAACUUAAAGGAAUUGACGGAAGGGCACCACCAGGAGGGGAGCCUGCGGCUUAAUUUGACUCAACACGGGGAAACUUACCAGUUCCAGACAUAGUAAGGUUUGACAGACUGAGAGUUCUAUCU